CCUACGGGAUGCAGCAGUGGGGAAUAUUGCACAAUGGGGGCAACCCUGAUGCAGCGACGCCGCGUGCGUGAGGAAGUACCUCGGUAUGUUAAGCUCCUUUAGCACGGAAGAAAAUGACGGUACCUGACUCAGAAGCCCCGUCUAACUACGUGCCAGCAGCCGCGGUACUACGUAGGGGGCGAGAGUUAUCCGGAUUUACUGGGCGUAAAGGGAGCGUAGACGGAAUGGCAAGUCUGAUGUGAAAAUCCGAGGCCCAACCCCGGAACUGCAUGGGAAACUGUAUGUCUAGAGUGUCGGAGAGGCAAGUGGAAUUCCUGGUGUAGCGGUGAAAUGCGUAGAUAUCAGGAGGAACACCAGUGGCGAAGGUGGCUUGCUGGACGAUGACUGACGUUGAGGCUCGAAAGCGUGGGGAGCAAACAGGAUUAGAUACCCUAGUAGUC
rnacentral:rRNA from 1 species